UUUUUUUUUUUAGGUUAACAAUGCAUUAUGGCAUAUAUCUAAUACUUGUUUAUCUAUAUUUGUUUUCCAUUGUCAGCUAAAUCAUAAUUCAAAUAAGUCAGCGUUCACUCAUUUAUCAGACACUGAAAAGGAACCCGUAUUUGUCACAUACUUCAAAUUUGUUAACUCAGCUUUGUUUAAUUGUAGCGGCAUGUGAUAGAAAGGAAGAUGGUGCCACAGUAAAAAUGUGCCAUGUGGUUUAACCAGAAGGCAGGAAGGAUGACGGAUGUCAAACAUCCGAGCAGCCUGACAGAAAGCCAGACAGACCAGCUGUCUCACUGCUGAAGAAGCUGUGGCCUUCAAGGACCCAAACAACACACCACACUCUCUCAGAGAACUGCUUUUCUAAUCUUGGCGAGUUCACUAAACGCUUGUCCGUGAAAGAUAAGUCCAUACCUUCUUUAUUUGGACCAACAAGCGUCUCCGAACCACAACCUAUGUAGCGCAAAACACGAGUAAAAAGUAGUCGAGGAGUACACCAAGAUGAUGCAGAGCCACCACACCAAUGUCACAGUCAGGAAGGGAUGCCAGAUGGCAAAGCAUCACGCAAUUGCUCAUGCAAAUGAGAUGUGUGUGUUUGAGGUAAAGGCACCUGCAGCCUUCAGAAAAGCAGUUUAAUGGAGGAAAGCAAAGAGGACAGCACAUUUUGUCUACAUUUUGUACACUCGUGCUAACUGUUGUAUGCGGAAACCGUUCCAGGUGGAUGACAUAGGACAUUGCCGUAGCACAAUGGAGGAUUUGUAAAGAAAAAUGUUGGAGGAUUUCGAUGUAAGCCAAGAGGAGACUGUUUUUCCUUUGCAAAAGUAAGAACAUUUUUUGCUUCCUUUGCUCCUGUGAACGUUUGUUCUCACAAGGAUACUAUACCAACAUCCUACAUCAUUCGACCAGAAUGGCUUCUGUGUACGACAGUUAGCGGAAGUUAGAGAAAACUAUUUAUGACUUUUAAAUAUGGCUAUUUGGCUAUAGGAGGCCUUUAUUCACCGUCUGGAGCCAAGUGAUGCACUGUUUUGGAUGAAUGUGUUUUAUUGGACUUGUUUUUGACUUUUGAAUGGUCCACUGCCAUUGUAAAGCUUGGAAGAGCCUAAACCUUUUUUUAAUAUAACUGUGAAUGGAUUUGUCUGAAAGAAGAAAGUCAUAUACACCUAGGAUGCCUUUGAGGGUGAGUAAACUAUGGGGUAAUUUUCAUUUUUGGGUAAACUAACUAACCGUUUAAUUUUAUUUAUAUAUAUAUAUAUAUAUAUUUUAUAUCUAUAUAUAAAAAAAAACUUGUAAAAUAUAUAAAUAUUAAAUAAAAAAUAUUUCUUAUAUAAAUCUGUAUAAAAACUUGUGUUGAAGUUUUAACUUAAAUGCAACAUAAAUACAAAUACACCUAAUUUUUCAUCAUUUGCACAUUUGGGUUUUAUUUUUCUUAAAAAGAGUUUUAUUAUGUAGUAUUUAGUAACUUAAAGAUUCAUAACAAUACUUAAUAAAUGAUACAGAGUUUAUUUAAAAAUGCAACAUUUAUCAGACUCGUAUUAAGAUAUUACAUAAAGAUUUUCGUAAAGAUCAUAAAAUAAAAAUGCCCAAAUGUUUAUUGUAUUUAUUAUUAAUUAUUAUAAAUUCUUAACCCUUUUUACAGUGCACUUUUAACCCCUUAGUUGUCACCCCUCAUUUUUGAACAUAGACAUUAAUGUGCACAGUAUACAAACUUAAAUUAUUAGAAUACAUGAAGGGAUGGACUCAAAAUUUUAAAGUAUCAAAAAGUUAUCAAAGUUUAAAUUUACUGUAAAGAGAAUGCACUGUACCAAUUUUAUUUUUUUUUAUAAAUAAAUAUUUCGCAAAAUAUUUUUGAAUCCAAAAUUGCUGUACAUUUAAAGCCUUAUGUCUAAAUAAGUUAUGUUGCAGUGUGGUUUUUAUUUAGAAUGUUAUACCACAAACAGCCACCGGGUGCCAUCAAAACUCCAUUGCCCUCCAAUGCGUUUUUAACCUAAAUCACAGCAGAAGUCCAUCUGUGAAAGAUGUAGACUGUUAAAACAUAUGCAAGCCAAUCAUAGCAGUGGGCGUUUACUUCCCAGUCCACAAUCUAACACGCCUAUUUAAACAGAGUGUUCUGAUGAAGGUGGUCAAAACCAGGACAGAAAAUAGCUUAUUACUAAAAAAAUGUUGAUUUUGAUUUUGAUUUAAAAAAUCUUGAUAACAUUAUAAGUGGACCUCAGAGAACAGUAUAAAAAAAAAACAAAAAAAAAACAGAGGCAGUUCAUGACCCCUUCAAGCAAUUGCUUCCUGCUAUUGCUGACUAAUAAGCCCCAGGCUGCCAGGAUCCACAGUACCACUUCCUACAUCAUUAUUUUCGUUAUUAUCGGUGUGCUCAGUUAAAUUAUAGAAAGGAAUACUUUUAUUUAGCAAGGAUGCUUUAAAUUGUUCAAAAGUGAUAAUAAAGACAUUUUAUAAUGUUACAAAAGAUUUCUAUUUCAGAUAAAUGCUGUUCUUUGGAACUUUCUGUUUAUCAAAGAAACCUUAAAAAAUUUUACUGAUAGAAUGAUUUCUGAAGGAUCAUGUGACUGGAGUAAUGAUGCUAAAAAUUCAGCUUUGAAAUCACAGGAAUAAAUUACAUUUUAAAAUAUAUUCAAAUAAAAAGCAGCUAUUUUAAAUAGUAAAAAUAUUUCUAAAUUUUAGUGUUUUUGUUGUACUUCGGAUCAAAUAAAUGCAGGCUUGGUGAGCAGAAGAGGCUUCUUUAAAAACAUUAAACAUUGUACUGUUCAAAAACUUAUGACUGGUAGUGUAUAAUGUUACACAUAAAGGUACAUCAUAAAUGCCAUAAAUGCCUUUAAUAUCAUUUCAUAUAUUCAAACUUAAAUGCAUUUCGAGUUAUAAUUGUAAUUUCAUUACCAGCAGUAACUUCUGCAUGCUGUAUUGUUGUGCAUGUGACCUUCAUCUUUGGCAUUUCAGUCUGCAUGUGAUGAACUUUACACAGAAAUAUACCUACGUGGAUGUACCAGAUGAUGACAAUUCAGUUCUAAUAUUGUUUCCAUACAGGAACAAAACUGAAUAAACUCUUCCCACAUCCUCUUGUCAUCAGCUCCUGAGAUGAAAUGUCAUUACACUUCAUACCUUUUAAAUGUUGUUCUAAUGAAAUUCUCCAGAACAUAAACUGGUUUCAUUUGGGCAUUUAGA